UUGUCAGGUAGGAAAAUCUUUACCUGUUCCUUUUGUCGGAGGGCAGAUUGGAUCAUGAUGAUUGAAGUUUGCAUGAUUUGGGAUUAGCGUUUCUGCAUACAGUCAGGACUUUGGACACACUGACUGAUCCUAUUUGAC